CAGCAGCCGCGGGAACACGUAGGGGGCAAGCGUUAUCCGGAAUUACUGGGUGUAAAGGGAGCGUAGACGGUUAAACAAGUUUGAAGUGAAAUGCCGGGGCUCAACCCCGGAGCUGCUUUGGGAACUGUAGAACUGGAGUGUCGGAGGGGUAAGCGGAAUUCCCAGUGUAGCGGUGAAAUGCGUAGAUAUUGGGAGGAACACCGGCGGCGAAGGCGGCUUACUGGACGACAACUGACGUUGAGGCUCGAAGGCGUGGGUAGCAAACAGGAUUAGAUACCCGCGUAGUCCCUGUCUCUUAUAC
rnacentral:rRNA from 1 species